AGGUGUGGAUAGGGGAGAAAUUCCAAUCGAACCCGGAGAUAGCUGGUUCUCCUCGAAAUAGCUUUAGGGCUAGCCUCAUGGAUCAUUGAUGGGGGUAGAGCACUGAAUGUGCGCGGGGGCCACAAAGCCUACCAAACGCUAUCAAACUUCGAAUACCAUACAAUGCAGACCAUGGGAGUCAGUCCGCGAGAGAUAAGUUCCGCGGGCAAAAGGGGAACACCCCAGAUCAACCGCUAAGGUCCCCAAGUUCACGUUAAGUGGAGAAGGAUGUGGAAUUGCACAGACAACCAGGAUGUUGGCUCAGAAGCAGCCACACAUUUAAAGAGUGCGUAAUAGCUCACUGGUCGAGUGAUUGUGCGCCGAAGAUGUCCGGGGCUAAACGUGACACCGAAGCGAUGGGUGCAUCUGAAAGGAUGCGCGGUAGAGGAGCAAUGUGCAGAGGCAGAAGCCGUAUCGAGAGGCACGGUGGACACUGCACAAGAGAGAAUGCCGGUAUGAGUAGCGAGAGGCAUGCGAGAAACAUGCCCGUCGAAAGCCCAAGGUUUCCUGGGGAAGGUUCAUCCGCCCAGGGUAAGUCGGGGCCUAAGCCGAGGACGGAAGUCGUAGGCGAUGGACAGCAGGUGUAGAUUCCUGCACUACCGAUGGAAUGAAGCAGUGACACAGAAGGAUAACUCGAGCAGGGUGAUGGUCAACCCUGUGCAAGCAUCAAGGUUGGGUUGUAGUGAAGUACGCAACCCUAUAAGCUGAGGUGUGAUGCGGACCGAAAUUUCAGUAGGGAAGCGAGUGAGUUCACGCUGGCGAGAAAAGCUGCUAGUACAUCCAAAGGUACCCGUACCGGAAACCGACGCAGGUGGGCGAGGAGAGAAUCCUGAGACGAACGGGAGAACCCUUGUUAAGGAACUCGGCAAAAUGACCCCGUAACUUCGGGAUAAGGGGUGCCUGCGAGAGCAGGCCGCAGAGAAUAGUCACAAGCGACUGUUUAGCAAAAACACAGGUAUCUGCGAAAGCGAGAGCUGACGUAUAGGUGCUGACACCUGCCCGGUGCUGGAAGGUUAAGGGAACAUGUUAGAGCAAUCGAAGCAUCGAACCGAAGCCCCAGUAAACGGCGGCCGUAACUAUAACGGUCCUAAGGUAGCGAAAUUCCUUGUCGGGUAAGUUCCGACCCGC
rnacentral:rRNA from 1 species